rnacentral:rRNA from 1 species
GACGAACGCUGGCGGCGUGCUUAACACAUGCAAGUCGAACGGAAAGGCCCUGCUUUUGUGGGGUGCUCGAGUGGCGAACGGGUGAGUAACACGUGAGUAACCUGCCCUUGACUUUGGGAUAACUUCAGGAAACUGGGGCUAAUACCGGAUAGGAGCUCCUGCUGCAUGGUGGGGGUUGGAAAGUUUCGGCGGUUGGGGAUGGACUCGCGGCUUAUCAGCUUGUUGGUGGGGUAGUGGCUUACCAAGGCUUUGACGGGUAGCCGGCCUGAGAGGGUGACCGGCACAAUUGGACCGGGGUAACGCCCCGGACCCUACGGGAGGCAGCAGUGGGGAAUAUUGCACAAUGGGCGGAAGCCUGAUGCAGCAACGCCGCGUGCGGGAUGACGGCCUUCGGGUUGUAAACCGCUUUCGCCUGUGACGAAGCGUGAGUGACGGUAAUGGGUAAAGAAGCACCGGCUAACUACGUG